rnacentral:rRNA from 1 species
AGGGCUUAAAGGGGGUAACAAGGUAUCCUUAAAUUUUGUUCCCGGCGGAGGGCCUUUUAACGGGUGGGUAACCUGCCUGUAAGACUGGGAUAACUCCGGGAAACCGGGGCUAAUACCGGAUGGUUGUUUGAACCGCAUGGUUCAGACAUAAAAGGUGGCUUCGGCUACCACUUACAGAUGGACCCGCGGCGCAUUAGCUAGUUGGUGAGGUAACGGCUCACCAAGGCGACGAUGCGUAGCCGACCUGAGAGGGUGAUCGGCCACACUGGGACUGAGACACGGCCCAGACUCCUACGGGAGGCAGCAGUAGGGAAUCUUCCGCAAUGGACGAAAGUCUGACGGAGCAACGCCGCGUGAGUGAUGAAGGUUUUCGGAUCGUAAAGCUCUGUUGUUAGGGAAGAACAAGUGCCGUUCAAAUAGGGCGGCACCUUGACGGUACCUAACCAGAAUGCCACGGCUAACUACGUGCCAGCAGCCGUGGUAAUACGUAGGUGGCAAGCGUUGUCCGGAAUUAUUGGGCGUAAAGGGCUGGCAGGCGGUUUCUUAAGUCUGAUGUGAAAGCCCCCGGCUCAACCGGGGAGGGUCAUUGGAAACUGGGGAACUUGAGUGCAGAAUAGGAGAGUGGAAUUCCACGUGUAGCGGUGAAAUGCGUUGGAGAUGUGGAGGAACACCAGUGGCGAAGGCGACUCUCUGGUC